ACCUACAUCUUUGUAAUUGCCAUGAGCUUGAGCUAGCCAGUGAUGAAGAUGAGAUGCAAUUGCAAGGCCACAAGAGCCUCCUCUCUUUGGAGUUUACACAUCUUCGGAAAUUGGUGUCUCUCCCACUGUGGCUUCAACAUGCAACCACUCUACAAAGGCUUGAGAUUUCAAAUUGUGAAAACUUGACGGCUAUACCGGAGUGGAUCUCAACAUGCACAUCACUUCAAGUGCUUGAAAUUGGUGGAUGCUCUAGUUUGACAUCAUUGCCCGAAGGAAUGGGUAGGCUAACGUCUUUGCGAAGGCUAAAAGUUGAGAAGUGUCCCAUCUUAUUGCAAAGAUGCAAGAGAGAAGCGGGUGAGGACUGGGCCAAGAUUGCUCACAUCCCAGAGUUAGACUUGCGGUAUCUGCCUCAGCAAGAAGAAAAGUCAAACUUCCAUGCAUCUUCGAUUGCUUAGGGAAAAAAGUAGCAGAAGAAUGUUGAAGCAUACCACAACAAAAGCAGCAGCAUGAAGCCAAACAUUGUUCCUUAUUGAAUUUGAUCCGAGAGCUACAUGAUCUCAUUUGAAGCCAAACAUAUUGUUCCUAAUUGUUGUGAUUGAAGAAUUGGCGAGUGACAUUAUAAAAUUACAAGUGAGGCUUUGAUUUAUAUGCCAUGUGGAAUAUGUGGAUUGGAAAAACUGACUAAUCUUCGGACAUUAUCAAAAUUGGUGGUCUGCUCCAGUUCUCUUUCUAGCCUUUGACUUGGAGCAUUCCUAACGAGCUUGCCAAACACCAUUUUUGGGUUUGAUUGUUCAGGGCGAUGUAGCUGAAGAAUGUCGAAGCAUACCACAAGAAAAGCAGCAACAUGAAGCCAAGCAUAUAGUUCCUAAUUGUUGGGAUUGAAGAAUUGGCGAGCUUGCCAAAUACCAUUUUUCGCAAAAAUCUCUUGAGUUCCCUCAAAAUACCCCCUGCAACAAAGAUUUUAUAGCCUCACUCAUCGGCAAGCUUCUCUCGCCAUUUCA